AUUGAACGCUGGCGGCAGGCCUAACACAUGCAAGUCGAGCGGAUGAAGGGAGCUUGCUCCUGGAUUCAGCGGCGGACGGGUGAGUAAUGCCUAGGAAUCUGCCUGGUAGUGGGGGCUAACGUCCGGAAACGGGCGCUAAUACCGCAUACGUCCUGAGGGAGAAAGUGGGGGAUCUUCGGACCUCACGCUAUCAGAUGAGCCUAGGUCGUAUUAGCUAGUUGGUGGGGUAAAGGCCUACCAAGGCGACGAUCCGUAACUGGUCUGAGAGGAUGAUCAGUCACACUGGAACUGAGACACGGUCCAGACUCCUACGGGAGGCAGCAGUGGGGAAUAUUGGACAAUGGGCGAAAGCCUGAUGCAGCCAUGCCGCGUGUGUGAAGAAGGUCUUCGGAUUGUAAAGCACUUUAAGUUGGGAGGAAGGGAAGUAAGUUAAUACCUUGCUGUUUUGACGUUACCAACAGAAUAAGCACCGGCUAACUUCGUG
rnacentral:rRNA from 1 species